rnacentral:rRNA from 1 species
AGUGAACUCUGGCGGUAGGCCUAACACAUGCAAGUCGAACGGCAGCACAGUAAGAGCUUGCUCUUACGGGUGGCGAGUGGCGGACGGGUGAGGAAUACAUCGGAAUCUACUUUUUCGUGGGGAUAACGUAGGGAAACUUACGCUAAUACCGCAUACGACCUACGGGUGAAAGCAGGGGAUCUUCGGACCUUGCGCGAUUGAAUGAGCCGAUGUCGGAUUAGCUAGUUGGCGGGGUAAAGGCCCACCAAGGCGACGAUCCGUAGCUGGUCUGAGAGGAUGAUCAGCCACACUGGAACUGAGACACGGUCCAGACUCCUACGGGAGGCAGCAGUGGGGAAUAUUGGACAAUGGGCGCAAGCCUGAUCCAGCCAUACCGCGUGGGUGAAGAAGGCCUUCGGGUUGUAAAGCCCUUUUGUUGGGAAAGAAAAGCAGCAGGUUAAUACCCCGCUGUUCUGACGGUACCCAAAGAAUAAGCACCGGCUAACUUCGUG